UACGUAGGGUGCGAGCGUUGUCCGGAAUUAUUGGGCGUAAAGGGCUCGUAGGCGGUUUGUCACGUCGGGAGUGAAAACUCAGGGCUCAACCCUGAGCCUGCUUCCGAUACGGGCAGACUAGAGGUAUGCAGGGGAGAACGGAAUUCCUGGUGUAGCGGUGAAAUGCGCAGAUAUCAGGAGGAACACCAGUGGCGAAGGCGGGUCUCUGGACAGUUCCUGACACUGAGGCACGAAGGCCAGGGGAGCAAACGGGG
rnacentral:rRNA from 1 species